CCUACGGGUGGCAGCAGUCGAGAAUCAUUCACAAUGGGGGAAACCCUGAUGGUGCGACGCCGCGUGGGUGAAGGAGCGUUUCGGCGCGUAAAGCCCUAUCGGCAGGGAAGAAGAUGACGGUACCUGACCAAGAAGCCCCGGCUAACUACGUGCCAGCAGCCGCGGUAAUACGUAGGGGGCAAGCGUUAUCCGGAUUUACUGGGUGUAAAGGGGGCGUAGGCGGAUUUUUAAGUCAGCGGUAAAAUGUCCGGGCUCAACCCGGGCCGGCCGUUGAAACUGGGGAUCUUGAGUGGGCGAGAAGUAUGCGGAAUGCGUGGUGUAGCGGUGAAAUGCAUAGAUAUCACGCAGAACUCCGAUUGCGAAGGCAGCAUACCGGCGCCCGACUGACGCUGAGGCACGAAAGCGUGGGGAUCGAACAGGAUUAGAUACCCCUGUAGUC
rnacentral:rRNA from 1 species